rnacentral:misc_RNA from 1 species
UAAUAAUUGAUUUAUUUUAUUUUAUUAAAACAAAAAAAGUACAUUGUAUAAAUCAGAUCAUAGAUGACACAAGAGGCACAAUGACACAAAAAAGGAAAAUUGACACAAAGACAUAAUAUUAUACAUAUAACAAUUUAAUCAUAAUAAUUGAUUAUGAUGAAAUUCAUCAUAAUUAAUACUCAUAAUGAAACCUUUAUAUUCAUUUAAUAAUUUUUCCACAGAGAGAGAGAGAGAGA